rnacentral:lncRNA from 1 species
CCGGUCCAGCCCUAAUUUUAUUUGAGUCGUUGCUCAAAUGAGAUCAACGGCCCAGAUUUAUUUUUCUAAAUUAAAACCUAAGCGACCCCCCUCCCCAAACCCGUCACUUCAGAGUCUCUCUCUCUCUCUCUCUCUCUCUCUAUCUCUCUAUCUAUGCCAACGUUUGCUCUCCAUUUUCUCUAGAAACUUCUGGUUCUCUCUCUCUCAUCUCCGAAGAAGCCACCGCUUCUCCGGCCAUCUCCAUCCUCACUUCUCUCGACCACCAGCCGCCAUGAAACUCUAUCUUGUUGAUUCCUUCUAGCUUCAAGACUCCAGAAGCCUCCACCAUACAAGAUGGUCACGGAAGGCCUUGCCUGGCUUGUCUUCGGCCUUUCUCCGAUGGUGUAUGGUCCGACGGUACUACGAACGUUAUUAUUAACGAGUUUCACAGGCAGGUUCCUCAUCUAUCACUACUUUAUUACGAAACCCUAAUUUCUGCCUAGGUCUCUUAAUCUAUGUCCUUUAGAAACUAUUUCUAACUUAUUCAUUGUGUUUUAUACUACUCUCUACUCGAUUUCUUCGAUUACUCAAGUUUUUCAAUAUUUUGUUCCUAUUUUCAAAAUUAGGUUUUCUGAAAAACCUUUUCUUCAAAAUGCUUUCUGGUUUUAAGUAUUUAACCCCAUGUGUCUAUGAGUUCUUACUGAUUUUAUUGAGUUCUUCCUUAACCCUAACCAACAUAUGCUAAAACCCUAGUUUUUGAAACUUUGUUUGGAUUUUUGCACUCAUCCAUGUUAUUUGAUACAUGCCUAUGUUAGGUGCUUUGAUUUACAUGAUUAUUUCUUCGUUUAAUUAGGAUAUCUUGUGAUUUUUCCCUAGUAUUCCUCUAUUAGGGUUUCAUAUUUGGUUCUUUCCAUUUGUACUUGACUUAUUUGAUUAUUCUUUGAAAUCUAUGUAAUUUCCCUUAUCAGCAUUAUUUCGGAUCUUCGAUAUAUUUGCAACCUUAUUUAGUCUCCCUAUCUUAUUUGACUGUGUUACUUAUUGAUUCUUCACUAAUUAUUUCCCCAAUUGAACCCUUGUGUAUUUGCCCUUAAUUGUCUACUCUGUACCUGAGUCUUACUUGGUUUUCUUUCCUUAAAUAUGUCAUGCUUUUUACCGUUGGAUAAUUGCCCGUUAAUUAAGGAAAGAAUUGCUGAUUUUCUGCCUGAUUUAUUUUAUGGCUUCCUUGAUUGAUGAAAACUGAUUUCCUUUACCUUAUUUACUAUGCUCUCAACUACCAUAUAUACUCUCCUCUAUUCUCACUUCCAGACGAACAAAAAUUCAUUGUUCUGAACUCUCUCUUACACACAAAAUAUACUCAGUAUUCUCUCUUGUUUCUACACAACCUCUCUCACUUUCCUUGUGACUACCGAUUACUUAGUCGACUGAAAGCCAAGACUGAGUGAUUUAGGCUGUUUUACUGUUCUAUUAUUCUUUGCAUUGCUACCUGCUUUGGUCUGCAUACUGCUGCUCACUUCUCUGCAUACUGUUGCUCACUUCUUUGCAUACUACUGCUCACUUCUCUACAUACAACUACUCUAUAUUAUCUCAUCCUCUACUGGUAUGCCCUCCAUUUGAUUUACAACUCUCAAAACAACAUGGUUUUAUGCAUACUACACUUUAUUCUGUUUCAUCUAUGCUUUUACUUAUGAUUCUGCUGUUCUUAUUGCAACUAGUAUGUUUCCGUGGUUAGUUCAUCAUUCUCUUAAUGUAGCAUGCCUACUGAUUUGCUCCCAUGCCCCUAGCCCUAGUACGUUAUCAGCAUGUAGUCCUGGCCCCUUUUGUUUUAAACCUGGUGUGACUGUCUAAGUUCUGAAAUAUUGUCUGUGAACUGCUUUUCCCCAUCCCCCUUUUCCCUGUUUGUGUUUACUUCCCUGAACUAUAUGCGAUAUUGUCAGAAUUGUCACCUGGUUUUCUUUCAAAACUGCUUCUGUAUGGAUCAUUCUCCUAAAGUGUUUUUCAACUCAGUUUCUUUAAAACUCUGUCACACUCUCACUACUCCUAAAGUUUAGGUCCUUCCCCCAUUUGUGUAAACAUUGCCUUGGGUACCCUUUGAGUACCAAUUGAACUUUGAUGCACAGAGCUGGUAAUUCUCCACUGCACUUGUUCAAUUUCUGAUAGUAUUUGGAUGACGGUAUUGGACAUGGACCCCAAUGGGCCCUUAGGAAGCUUUUCUGCACCCAAACCAUGGCGAAGGUCUGUGAAACUCGAAAGACGUGAGGUUGGAAGAAUUGGGCCUGGUUGAUGGAUUCCUAUUGAGUAACUUCUUAUUUUUAUUUUCAUUAUGUAGUUCAGCUAUCAUGGUUUGUAAUAACUUGGAAAUAACUGGUGGGCCUAUAGUGAAAUGGGUGAGGAUUAUGCAUGUUUGGUUUAGUUAAUGGGUAGAUAACAUGUCCGUAAGGCUUUACUUACUUACUUGUCCAACAGAAACCGUGUGUAGG